rnacentral:tRNA from 1 species
UGUCCGGAUGGCUCAGUGGUCACAGCAUCUGCCUAGUAAGUAGGAGGCCUGGGUUCGAAACCCAGUCCGACAC